rnacentral:rRNA from 1 species
AACGAACGCUGGCGGCAUGCCUAACACAUGCAAGUCGAACGAGACCUUCGGGUCUAGUGGCGCACGGGUGCGUAACGCGUGGGAACCUGCCCUUAGGUUCGGAAUAACUCCCCGAAAGGGGUGCUAAUACCGGAUAAUGUCUUCGGACCAAAGAUUUAUCGCCUUUGGAUGGGCCCGCGUUGGAUUAGCUAGUUGGUAGGGUAAAAGCCUAUCAAGGCGACGAUGCAUAGCUGGUCUGAGAGGAUGAUCAGCCACACUGGGACUGAGACACGGCCCAGACUCCUACGGGAGGCAGCAGUGGGGAAUAUUAAACAAUGGGCGAAAGACUGAUCCAGCAAUGCCACGUGAGUGAUGAAGGCCUUAGGGUUGUAAAGCUCUUUUACCCGGGAUGAUAAUGACAGUACCGAGAGAAUAAGCUCCGGCUAACUCCGUG